AACUUUCGACAACGGAUCACUUGGUUCUGGCAUCGAUGAAGAACGCAGCGAAAUGCGAUAAGUAAUGCGAAUUGCAGAAUACCAGUGAGUCAUCGAAUCUUUGAACGCACAUUGCGCCCUUUGGUAUUCCGAAGGGCAUGCCUGUUCGAGCGUCAUUAUCACCCCUCAAGCCCCUGGCUUGGUGUUGGACGGUUUGGUGGAGACCCCUCGUGGGCUUCUACCCGUCCCAAAGACAAUGACGGCGGACUCGUUGGACCCCCGGUACACUGAGUUCUUCACGGGACACGUAUCGGAGACAUGGGUUUACGGGACACGGUCUGCCUCCCCUUAGGGAGAAUCUUUUCAAGGUUGACCUCGGAUCAGGUAGGGAUACCCGCUGAACUUAAGCAUAUCAAUAAGCGGAGGCU
rnacentral:misc_RNA from 1 species